AUUACGCGGACGUGAAACAUCGUUGUAUCGUUGGCACGUAAUACGUAGAAAAGGUACAUUAAAUGAAGGCGUCAGCAAUCAAGUUUUAUGUACGAAAUCCCUUCUAUGAAUCAGUUCACACGAAUAGGCACUUUCGUGAAAGCAAAUUUUUACCAAGCUUGAGUUUUCUCUAAGGCUGUUGAGGGAUUCUGUAAGAAAGCGAGGCAAACGAGCGGCGAGAACACCGAGG